rnacentral:ncRNA from 1 species
AUAUAGGUAAUGAAAAGGACAUGAAUCAUUGGGUAUGUCUGGAAAGAGAAAGAAGUCACCGGCUGAGAGCUUCUUACUGACAUCAAUGAUUUACCACCUUUGAACCCUGCUAUUGAAGCCUACUAGUAAGUAGCAGCGUUUCAUCUGCGUUAUAGAUGUAUGAAGCCGUAAGGAGUUUACGGAAAAUAGGGUGGAACCACGACGUGACCAACGCUCGUCCCUUUG